AUGGUCUCGCCGCAGCAGCCGGCGGCGGCGAAGAAACCCACACCACUCCCCCCGACGACCAUAAGCGCCCUCGACCUAGACACCCUGCGCGAGUUCUUCCUCUGCCUCCCCUCUCUCCCGAGCCUCGUCCGCGCCGCCCUCAGCUGCCACACCUUCCUGGACGCCGUCCGUUCGUCGCCCGCUUUCCGCCGCCGGUUCCGUGCGCUCCACCCACCCCCGCUCCUAGGCCACUUCCUCACCACCCAAGACACCACCAUCCGUACUUUCGUGCCUCUCCGCAGCCGCUCCGACCCGGACAUCGCGGCGGCGGUACGCGGCGGCGAUUUCUUCCUCACCCGCCUCCCGGUCCCCGAAGACGACGGCGCCGUGUCCAUUCCUGCACCCGUCUCCGCCCCCGAAGACAGCGAGGGUGGCGUGUCCGUUCCUGUCCCCGCUCCCGCACCCGAAGACGACGACAUGGAUGCCAUCUUCGGCUUCGCAGACGACGACGAGGAUCCCGUCCCCGAGGAUCCUGUCCCCGAGUGGUCGAUCGAUGACUGCCGUGACGGAUUCGUUGUUCUCGACAACUGGAGCACUCAGCAGAUCGCCGUCUACAACCCGCUCGCGCGGACACUGGAUCUCUUCCCCCUGCCUCCCCGCCAGGAGCACUCCAAGGACUGCGAGCGCCAGUAUUCUGAUUACUACAUCCUCGCCGAAAAAGAAGAAGACUCCUUGCCGUACCGCGUCGUGUGCGUCUGGCACAGCGAACAUGGGGCGCGCGCCAUGGUCUUAUCAUCGGACACCAGCAACUGGCAGAUUUUCCCAUGGGCGGACAUCGACGGGUUCUGGCCUGGCAAUGGUAAGAUGGUUAAUGGCUGCAUCUAUUGGACCAAUGGGAUGACGGAUGCGCGCGUGCUUAACACUGCUACAAUGCAAUUCUCUCGGAUGGAUAAGCCGCCGCGCAUGAGAGGGCAUGAGGUAUUGACGGCUGGUGAGACCAAGGAUGGAAGACUCUGUGUGGUCUGCGCACCUUUGGGGCCACUGACAUUUGAAUCCGUGCUUGCCGUUUGGAUCCGGAGAGCCGAUGAUGAUGGCGUCGAGAGGUGGAUGUUGGACAAGUCACUCCCGUUGCAGGAGAUAGCUGGAAUCGUUCGAUGUGGAUUCAGGCAGGAUAAUGUUCAAUUUCAAGUGAGUGUUAGGGCGAUUAUUGGUGGCUUUGUGUACUUCUCUGCUUAUUGUGGGGUGUUGCCCCAUGAUCAUUCGGAUCUCUGGCUCCUAUCCUUCUGCGUGGAAACGGCGGCGCUGAACAAGCUUGGUCGCAUCUUUCGUGGUGUUUCCUAUCCCUACAUCAUGGCGUGGCCUCGUUCUUUGGUUGGUACACAACAAGGUGACUAA
rnacentral:rRNA from 1 species